CCUACGGGGGGCUGCAGUGGGGAAUUUUGGACAAUGGGGGCAACCCUGAUCCAGCCAUGCCGCGUGAGUGAAGAAGGCCUUCGGGUUGUAAAGCUCUUUCAGCCGGGAAGAAAACGCACUCUCUAACAUAGGGUGUGGAUGACGGUACCGGAAGAAGAAGCACCGGCUAACUACGUGCCAGCAGCCGCGGUAAUACGUAGGGUGCGAGCGUUAAUCGGAAUUACUGGGCGUAAAGGGUGCGCAGGCGGUUUUGUAAGACAGAUGUGAAAUCCCCGGGCUUAACCUGGGAACUGCGUUUGUGACUGCAAGGCUAGAGUACGGCAGAGGGGGGUGGAAUUCCGCGUGUAGCAGUGAAAUGCGUAGAUAUGCGGAGGAACACCGAUGGCGAAGGCAACCCCCUGGGCCUGUACUGACGCUCAUGCACGAAAGCGUGGGGAGCAAACAGGCUUAGAUACCCCAGUAGUC
rnacentral:rRNA from 1 species